rnacentral:lncRNA from 11 species
AGCUUUUGUUAGCAUAGCAUUCCAUGUUCCUACAGCAUCCUUCUCCCUUCUUUCCAGUGUGUGUUCAGUUAAUGAACUGGAGGCUAGAACUCAAGUUCUUUUACCACUACAGUGAAAGAAAUCCGCACGACCUGCAUAACACAGAAAGUUGGGAGAGCAUGGUUUUCAUUCAGCCUACACAGAAGCAGAGAGAAACUUGGCUCAUGCUAAAGCCAGUAAAAAGAAAAUCCUGUUCCCCCUCGUUUGUCCUCAAUGCUCUAGAACUUGUAAGGCGUAAAUAUUUUUGGAAAAA